ACCGAAUAAGAGGAACAGACGAGUGGAAUGGAGGAUAACAACAGUGACAACAGCAGCAGCAGUGGGUCCUCCAGUGGAAGCUGGAGUGACAAUGAUGAAGAGACCCUGUGAACUGAGUACCUGACCCCGGAAGCGGGGCACGGGUGGACAUGAAGGGAGGGCUGGUCAGAGAGACCAGAAAGAACUGAGUGUGUAUUUUGUGUGUUUUGCACGUGGUUGCAGACUUUGUAAUGGGUACGGGUGGCCAGCAGGCCUUUGUACGGGUGCGCGGGUGCACAGGAUGUGUGGG